UGGUGGCGAUGGCGGAGGGGUUCCACGCGUACCCAUCCCGAACACGACCGUUAAGCCCUCCAGCGCCGAUGGUACUUGGACCGAAGGGUCCUGGGAGAGUAGGACGUUGCCAAGC
rnacentral:rRNA from 1 species